rnacentral:misc_RNA from 1 species
GAAAUGCGAUAAGUAAUGUGAAUUGCAGAAUUCAGUGAAUCAUCGAAUCUUUGAACGCACAUUGCGCCCGGGAGCAUUCUCCCGGGCAUGCCUGUUCGAGCGUCAUUUCAACCCUCGACCUCCCCUUGGGGAGGCCGGCCGUUGGAGAUCGGCAGCGAUUGCCGGCUCCCAAAUUCAGUGGCGACCCGCCGCGGGGACCCCUGCGCAGUAACAUACACUCGCACCGGAAACCAGACGUGUCACGCCGUAAAACCCCAACUUUCUGAACGUUGACCUCGGAUCAGGUAGGAAUACCCGCUGAACUUAAG